rnacentral:rRNA from 1 species
CCGCGAAUUCUUCCUUCGGAGAGGGAGCCUGAUAUGUUUUACUGAGACAACGACCCAGGCCUUACGAGGCGCAGCAUGCGCGGAACCUCCGCAAUACACGAAAGUGUGACGGGGUUACCCAAAGUGCUCUUUCUAGAGCUGUGGUAGGUGAGUAAUGUUCCCUACUAGAAAGGAGAGGGCAAGGCUGGUGCCAGCCGCCGCGGUAAAACCAGCUCUUCAAGUGGUCGGGAUAAUUAUUGGGCUUAAAGUGUCCGUAGCCGGUUUAGAAAGUUCCUGGUAAAAUCGGGUAGCUUAACUAUCCGUAUGCUAGGAAUACUGCUAUACUAGAGGGCGGGAGAGGUCUGAGGUACUACAGGGGUAGGGGAUGAAAUCUUAUAAUCCUUGUAGGACCACCAGUGGCGAAGGCGUCAGACUGUAACGCGUCUGACGGUGAGGGACGAAAGCCAGGGUAGCGAACCGUAUUAUAUACCCGGGUAGUCCUGGCCGUAAACGAUGCAUACUAG